UGGCUCAGACAGUAAAGCGUCUGUCUACAGUACAGGAGACCCAGGUUCGAGCCCUGG
rnacentral:tRNA from 1 species